rnacentral:rRNA from 1 species
UACGGAGGGAGCUAGCGUUGUUCGGAAUUACUGGGCGUAAAGCGCGCGUAGGCGGCUUUGUAAGUUAGAGGUGAAAGCCUGGAGCUCAACUCCAGAAUUGCCUUUAAGACUGCAUCGCUUGAAUCCAGGAGAGGUGAGUGGAAUUCCGAGUGUAGAGGUGAAAUUCGUAGAUAUUCGGAAGAACACCAGUGGCGAAGGCGGCUCACUGGACUGGUAUUGACGCUGAGGUGCGAAAGCGUGGGGAGCAAACAGG